rnacentral:lncRNA from 1 species
UUUUAUUUGACAGCGGAUGAGCAGGAGAUGGGGUGUUAGAAGAGAUGGGGAACCUUUUUUCUCUGUCCUACAAUCAAAUGAAAUGAAUUUACGGGCCUGUACGAUGACACUGUACCUGGCUAGGGUAACAUAACACAAUCAUGAAUAACAGGAAAUACACCGGGAUCCUAUCAGUCAGAGAGGUCUCUGCCAGAAUGUGGUCACAUGGCCUCUGCUCUGCUUAUGAGAAAGGCCUUUGGAGUGUGGUUUCUCAGCUGUAAUUGUUUUAACACAUGGAACAAUACAAAGAACUUGCACAGAGGACAUACGAACAGGAAGACGGUAUGCAGAUGAACCCCAAGGGAAAGUUCAAUGUCUGGAAAUCUGUUACAGGGAUCCCAGAAAAUUUAUUAGGUCUGGAAAGCAUCUGAACUUUUUGGAAGGUACUUCCACAGCAUGCUUUGCCACAGUAACACAACUGUGCCAGACAGCCCAAGCAGACAG